UUAAAUUGAAGAGUUUGAUCAUGGCUCAGAUUGAACGCUGGCGGCAGGCCUAACACAUGCAAGUCGAACGGUAACAGGAAGCAGCUUGCUGCUUUGCUGACGAGUGGCGGACGGGUGAGUAAUGUCUGGGAAACUGCCCGAUGGAGGGGGAUAACUACUGGAAACGGUAGCUAAUACCGCAUAACGUCGCAAGACCAAAGAGGGGGACCUUAGGGCCUCUUGCCAUCGGAUGUGCCAGAUGGGAUUAGCUAGUAGGUGGGGUAAUGGCUCACCUAGGCGACGAUCCCUAGCUGGUCUGAGAGGAUGACCAGCCACACUGGAACUGAGACACGGUCCAGACUCCUAC
rnacentral:rRNA from 1 species